GUUAACUCUAUUCACAGUGACAAACUAAACCUUAAUUGAACUGCCAUUCUUUUAAAUCUAUGCACAAGACUGCAAAUAGAUAAAAACCAAGGACAGCAAAGCGAAACAGAAGCACCACCGCCACCAAGGACAGCGCACAUAAGACAAUCAAAGGAAGAUGCUGCACAGUUGAGGUAGAGCAAGGAGGACUGUGGAAGAAGUUGGCGACUCACAGAACAGCCGUACGGCAAGGACUGAGGGGACACCUGCGACCAUCCCAGAGAAGCCCGGGAAUGAGCUGCAGCCCCAUGGCGGGCAACAACGGUGGGCGGUUGGUGGAGCGGUGGCAGCCCACACCACAGCCUCCUGAGCUCUCGGCUCCGCCUGAGACACAGGCAGUCCUGAGGAGCAUUCGGUGGUGUGCGGCGAGGCUAAAGCCGCAUCGUAUUUGCUAGAAUCCCAGGAAGAGGCUCCAGGGGAGCCAGAGAUCAGGGGGCAAGACGACAAAGGAGAGAGUUGAGGAAGUCUCUAAGGUGGUUGACCCUUUUUAAAUUGGGUUGUUUGUCUUCUUAAUGUUGAUUUUCAGGAGCUCUUUAUAUGAUCUGGAUAGGGGCUCUUUGUCAAGAUAAAAGUACUAUGAAUAUUCAUCCACGAUACUGUUAUCAGCAGGCUGGUCCUUUAAAAAUAAACCGAGUGAAAGAUUCCAUCCACAGAAUUGAAUGUACUCAGUUUAUACAAAGUUCUAGAACAGGCAAAACGAAGCCACUGUGACAGCAAUGAGAACUGUAGCAGUGGGGAAGGUGGGACGAGACGGGACAGGAGAGAACUUACUGGGGGAUGAGAUGAUUCUGCCUCUUGACUGGAGGGGCAGUUACAGAAGAUUUUUACAUUUGCCACAAUUCACUGAAAUGCAUACUUAAAAGCUAUGCACUUUCUUUUAUGUAAAUGAGACCUCCAUUAC